AAUUUCUUCGUCAAGAUGCAAGUUGUUAGGCACGUUUUGCACAUGCCUUCCAUCGUUUUGUUCGUUUACCAGUUCUGUCUCGCGAUUUAGAGUCAAAAAGAAAAUAUUAAGUAGGCUGAGAUAUGUUAGUUUAAGUUAGAUUUGUGUUGUUUAAGUUAUCUUUGUCUUCUGUUCUGUUGAUUCGAAAGAACGAAAUACGAAGCGAACGAACGAAAAUACGAAGCAAAAUUGAAGAAACGAAACGAAAAGGAAACGAUAAAUGCAAGUUGUCGCCCAAGAGCCUGAGCCGAAACAAUCCAAAACCAGUUGGAAUACAUGGACUAAUUUGACAACUGUGUAUUGGAGGGCGGCGGCGACAACAGUUUUGGAUUUGGUUACUCGACCGAAAUCAUGAAGUAAGCGGACGACGAGAAGCUGAACGCAAGGUACGGUGCCGUUUCAAUGAUAUCGCUGUUAUUAUUUCAAUUAUUUUAAAUUCGCUGUCGUUUCGUCUUUUCUGCACCUGCCUUCCUCUGCUAAUAUGUCGGGAAAACUCAACAAAUGGACGUUAGGACAGUUGCGGAUUCGGCACUAACACCCGGCCCAUUUGAUGUCCUCGGUCAUCAAAUCAUUGUGUCGCCGAUCCUUCUGUUAUUUUCACCACCUUGUGGAUGGGCCGCCAGAAAGUACUUCCCUGUGAUCGUACCUUUACCGACCUGACUCUUCCAUCGGAACUUUCCUUCGUGACCUCGAUCACACCCAGCGGCCACACACCUCUUGGGACCAAGUUGUCAACAAUGAGCACAACGUCUCCGUGCCGUAAGUUGUCGUGGCUCCGCGUGCACCUCCCGGCCCGUUGCUGAAGCGGUUUCAUCUACCGAAUUUAGAAAUGUCAACUGUUGAUGGAGAAGUAGGCAAAUACAAAUGCUUCAUGCGCGCUUUUCACAGUAAUAUAGUGUCAAGAGUCAGUCAUGAGGAGGAGAAAUUACAUUACUUGCAUCAAUAUACUGUUGGAAGACCACGAGAAAUCGUAGCCACAUGCUUGCAUCUGCCACCUGAGCGAGGCUUUGCGGAAGCCAUGAGUUUGCUGGACCGUCGAUAUGGGAGUCCAGUUCAAGUAGCAGCCGGACUUGUAGAAAAUUUGUUGAGAUACUCCAGUGUGAAGGCAGAUGACGUAGAAGGCCUGGAGACGUUUGCGAUUCAGCUGAGGGGAACUAUGAACGCACUGGGAAGUCUACCUCAUGGGGUGGGCUCUGUCGAUGUGAAAACAAUUCGAUCGCUAUUGGAGAAGGUGUUUAUGGUUUUAUGUUUAUCUUCAUCGCAAUUGAUAGUGUUUUUCUACAUUUUCAGAAAACCAGUUGGAAUACAUGGACUAAUUUGACAA